rnacentral:rRNA from 1 species
UACGUAGGGGGCGAGCGUUAUCCGGAAUUACUGGGCGUAAAGCGCACGCAGGCGGUUCGCCAAGUUUGGAGUGACAGUUGUCGGCUCAACCGACAAAGGACUUCAAAAACUGGUGAACUUGAGGACGAGAGAGGAACAUGGAACUCCAGGUGUAGUAGUGAAAUGCGUAGAUAUCUGGAGGAACACCGGUGGCGAAGGCGGCAUCCUGGACCGGCAUUGACGCUGAGGCGCGAAAGCCAGGGGAGCAAACGGG